rnacentral:rRNA from 1 species
AACGAACGCUGGCGGCAGGUCUUAGGCAUGCAAGUCGAACGGGUGUAGCAAUACAUCAGUGGCGCACGAGUGAGUAACGCGUGGGAAUUUGCCCAUCGGUGGGGAAUAACGUUUGGAAACGAACGCUAGUACCGCAUACGUCGAGGAAUCGAGAAAGAUUUAUCGCCGAUGGAUAAGCCCGCGUUGGAUUAGCUUGUUGGUAGGGUAAUGGCCUACCAAGGCGAUGAUCGGUAACUGGUCUGAGAGGACGACCAGUCACACUGGGACUGAGACACGGCCCAGACUCCUACGGGAGGCAGCAGUGGGGAAUCUUGGACAAUGGGGGCAACCCUGAUCCAGCGAUGCCGCGUGGGUGAAGAAGGCCUUCGGGUUGUAAAGCCCUUUAGGUUGGGACGAAGGUUGCGGGAGGAUAAUGCUCGUAACUUGACGGUACUAACAGAAUAAGCACCGGCAAACUCUGUGCCAGCAGCCGCCGUAA